rnacentral:rRNA from 1 species
AGUAACGCGUGGGUAACCUGCCUCAUACAGGGGGAUAACAGUUAGAAAUGACUGCUAUACCGCAUAAGCGCACAGUGCUGCAUGGCACAGUGUGAAAAACUCCGGUGGUAUGAGAUGGACCCGCGUCUGAUUAGCUAGUUGGUGGGGUAACGGCCUACCAAGGCGACGAUCAGUAGCCGGCCUGAGAGGGUGAACGGCCACAUUGGGACUGAGACACGGCCCAA